rnacentral:rRNA from 1 species
UGCUCUCAUUCGUCCCCCUCGUCUCCUUCUCCUAUCCCAAACCUAGCCGUCGCAUCGCCCCGUCCCGCUCCUCCCGUGGUCGCUCGCCGCCGCCCGCACUGGCGCCCCGACCUUUCCUCUCUUCAUCGCGCCGCCACCUUCCCUUCUCCUCCGGCCUCGCCUUUUCCUCCCUUCUCCUCCGGUGCCUCCUCCCAAGGGAAGUGAAGGGAAGGAUCGAGCGACAAGGUGAGGCCUAAAUCCACAUCGGCAUCAGCGCUUCGUCGUCGACUUCAUCCCCGACCGUCCUCGAGAGGUAGGCCAUGGAGGUCCGGUCCGGCCCGGCAGCAGCCAUGGAUGGAGACGCCCGGAACCCUAGCCCUCCAAGGACGUGCGCCGGCUGCAGGCCAUCUCCGGCGAGGGCAUCUCCGGCGAGCUCAUCCACGGGUCUCCGACUAUGCUGCUCCGAUCUGGAAGAGGGGGUGGAGCUGCUGCUGCUGCAGGUGGACGAGACACGAGCUCUCAUGGCUGCUCCCUCCUCCUACCCCCUGACGUGGUUGCUCUGAUGAGGACAAGCUGCUUCUGCAGGUGGACGGGCCCUCAUGGUCGCCGCACUCUCUCAUCGGGAGUAGGCAGGAGAAGUGUCGGCCGCUGAAGCAGACGAGCCGAGCCAUUAGUGGCUGCAUCUUUGACGUCCUUUCCUAGCGUGCUCGCCAGCGUACGCUGUCCACCGGCAGUAGCAAGGAUCUGGUUAUAUGGUGCAGGAUCCAGGCCACUCAAACUCAAAGCAUACUAACAACCAGGCCUGGAGAUAUAGUUUGCACAAUGUUUUGUUCUGUCAUAUGCCAUUUUGAUAUGGCUAAAAUGUUUGCUUUUGAUAUGUGUCAGAAUUAUGUUGCCCCACCAGCCUGAAAAUGUGAUAAAUAAAAGCCUACAGUGCUCAUUUAUUUGUAUUUACAGGCUUUGUUGUGCAUAUGAUUUACUCUUUGUUCCAUAAGAUCAUAUUUUGGUAGUGGUGCAAGCUGAACCUUGAUGUUGUUGCUGCUGUAUUCUGUAAUGGAACUGUUAGAUAAGGUAGUUAACUAUCUCUAGCCAUAGGUCUUAUAGUGGUGCAGAUUCAUUUUCUCUGCUAGGAGUUUACUUAAUUACAGAACAUUCCUGAAUAGUUACACUAAGCUAGCCAUGUUCCCAGUAAGCUCAGAAAUUUCCUGGCAUACACUUGACACCAGUUAUCUCUCAUAUUUCCCUGAUUUCCAUAGCUGUGUUGUAUCCCUUACAUGUUGUUUUAGUCGGUCUUUGCGAUUGGUUCAGUUAGAGGCUUAUUUAGUUGUGAUUUAGUCAUUGGCUAUGGUCAUUGGUAUGAUAGAAGCAUUACACAGUGCAUCAAUGAUAAAGCUACUGUUCUCUCAAACUGGUAAUAUUGUUCUAUUUUCUUGGAUGAUGUAAAGUUAACUGAUGGCCAUGCCAGCAUCAACUUUGUUUAUAGUAGGUUCAUAUGCAUGUAUAUUGAUGUAUUUCCUUUCUAACGAUUUUUUAGUGAUGCUUACUGCAUUAUUACAUAGCUGAAUGUCACUUUCUGACUUCAUUUAUUCAAGGUGGAUGCUUCUUUUGUAUUGUUAUUAUCAUGAUCCGUGUCUGAAUAAAUGCAUGUGUUGUAACUGAAUGUUCUUUUGCAUUUAUAAAACAAUAUGUUGUUCUAUUUUCCAUUAGAUGCUGUAGAAUUGCCUGAUUUGCUGCCACCAAUGAAAGGACAUUGUGACCUCUAACACAGGUGGCUUGAUGAUGCACAUCUAUGAAUAUUAUGAUGAUAAGAAACAAUCGUCCAUAUGCUUAUAAAACAAUAUAUGUUGUUCUUUUUUUAUGGUGUUCCCUGUAAGUCUAUGCUAAUUAGAACAUGUUUCUCUGUUGAUUUUCAUGUACCACCAAUAAUAUCCACAUUAUGGAAGGAGCAAGGAUCAUCACAUUAUGGUGCCAUUGUUAAAGCCUGUUGCUUCCUUGGACCUGCAUUGUUGCAGGCUUCUCCUGCAUUAUAUUGUUUAUUUGAUUUUCCGCUCUUUGGUAAGUCUCUGAGCAUGGAUGCUGUAUAUGUGACACUGGAACUUCUGUUCUAAUCGGUAUCAGGCAAUAUUUUGUCAAUGAAGAUGACACCGUACCACAAAAGGUUGUUGUUCGAAAGAAUAGCCGCCGGGGGGUUCACUUCGGUCGUGCUGGACCCCGUCAGAGGGUCAAUUUUGAGUCAGAUGAAGUGAAAGCAUGCAUUAUAAGUUGUGGAGGCCUUUGCCUUGGGCUCAACACUGUUAUCAGGGAGCUGGUGUAUGGCUUGGCGCACAUGUACAAUGUCAACAACAUCUAUGGAAUACUGGUUAAUUAAUCCUACAUUUCAGUAUCAACCAGCAUCUGUUCCUUCUUGAGCUCUCAACCCUGGGGUACACCUCCCGGUCAAGGUGCACCUCUUGUCUCACCGAUGAUGCAGCCUGGGCAUCACUCGCUCUCAGCUAGCUAGACUACCUAUAAGAAUCGUCAGCGCCUUUACCUAUCAGAGCAGGUACUAAUCUUGGUGUGAGCUCAAGGCAAUAGGCAAUUCUGAAGGUAGGCAAUCGUCAUUAGCCAGGUAAUGCCAGGGCUGGCUGCCAUGUGUACCAUGGUGAGAAGUAGCACCAGUAGUGCCAUAUUGGCUCCCUCUACCGAGCAGCGUGGAGGAGGGUUGGGAGUGAUCGCACUUCAACUUCUGUACGCUGCAUUUUCUUUUGGAUGUGUCAUGUCAUCAUUUCUACUGGUCUAUGUUAUGCCAAAGACUUAAGUUCUCUAUGCAGAGUUGCAAAUUGUCUGUAAGCUACUACGUGUUGUCGUAUCUUCUAUGCAUAAGAUAUUUUGUGCUAAACCUGUCGUGAAACAUGCUUUCAAUGUUCAUGCAUUGUUAAGAGGCUUCUUAUUGUGUGCAUAGAAAUGUUGGACCGGCACCCUUGCGCCAAGGCGCGAUCCCGAUCUAGUUGCCAUGAUGGACUGGGCUAAAC